ACACUUAUGUCUGCAGUACAUAUACUAAAACUGGAACGAUGCAGAAAAGAUUAGCAUAUCCUUGUGGGAAGAUGACAGGCAAAUUUGUGAUGCAUUUAUAUUUUCA